CGGCGGACGGGUGAGUAACGCGUGGGUAACCUGCCUCAUACAGGGGGAUAACAGUUGGAAACGGCUGCUAAUACCGCAUAAGCGCACAGUACCGCAUGGUACCGUGUGAAAAACUCCGGUGGUAUGAGAUGGACCCGCGUCUGAUUAGGUAGUUGGUGGGGUAACGGCCUACCAAGCCGACGAUCAGUAGCCGACCUGAGAGGGUGACCGGCCACAUUGGGACUGAGACACGGUCCAA
rnacentral:rRNA from 1 species